rnacentral:rRNA from 1 species
AUUGAACGCUGGCGGCAGGCUUAACACAUGCAAGUCGAGCGGAGAUGAGGUGCUUGCACCUUAUCUUAGCGGCGGACGGGUGAGUAAUGCUUAGGAAUCUGCCUAUUAGUGGGGGACAACAUUCCGAAAGGAAUGCUAAUACCGCAUACGUCCUACGGGAGAAAGCAGGGGAUCUUCGGACCUUGCGCUAAUAGAUGAGCCUAAGUCGGAUUAGCUAGUUGGUGGGGUAAAGGCCUACCAAGGCGACGAUCUGUAGCGGGUCUGAGAGGAUGGGCCGCCACACUGGGACUGAGACACGGCCCAGACUCCUACGGGAGGCAGCAGUGGGGAAUAUUGGACAAUGGGCGAAAGCCUGAUCCAGCCAUGCCGCGUGUGUGAAGAAGGCCUUUUGGUUGUAAAGCACUUUAAGCGAGGAGGAGGCUACUUGUACUAAUACUACUGGAUAGUGGACGUUACUCGCAGAAUAAGCACCGGCUAACUCUGUGCCAGCCGCCGCAGUAACAC